CUUUGGUUAACCUUCAUUGACAUAUGGAAAACCAUGGUCCCAGGAGAUCAAGCAGCUUGCCAAAGGACUCCCUGGUGACAGAGCCAAGCUUGUCUGGAUGUCCGCAUAGUACGUUUCUCAGGUUCCUGCCAAGACACUCUCCUGCAUCAGAUUUCUAAACAUGCUUCCCCUGUGGUUCCUUUGCUCUCAUCCAGAGCCACCCUGAAGAAAUGAGGCCAGAGCCUUGCUUAGGUCGGAGGUUUGUAAGUGUGGGGACGGUAGAGGGUCCAAGUGGCGGGAGCUAGGCUGGAGCCACCACCUGGCGUGAGAAGACCUGGAACCCAUGUGUCACUAGCCUAGUAGUUCUAAGAGUCACUUAGCGUUUAUUAACUAAAGAAUCUCAUUUUCAUCCUCUCAGAGUCUCUUCCAAUUAUCUUAUUUUAUAAGUGAACACAUACGGGAAUCACAGUUGCUGUUAGGAGGGGACAGAUCCCAUGACUCACCUAUGACAGCCACCUAGAGAUUAUCCAUAGUGGUUUGCACAGUUUCAGAAUGUCCCUGAUACCUACUCCAUGGAGCUAGUGCUUCUCACCCCAUUGGUCAAUAAAGCAAAGCACCUAAUCCCUAAAUUUACUUAAAAGUCAUGGCCCCAAGAAGAUAAAGGAAAUGCAAACUAUUGAGUUUACUGUUACCACAGGCUUUUGAUUACAACUUCAAGGUGUAAGGAGCUUCCAUAUUCAUAGUUAAAUGUCUUCAAAAAUGCUGUAAAGUCAUUAUCUUCCUAUUUCUUUUAG
rnacentral:lncRNA from 1 species